rnacentral:rRNA from 1 species
UWUGACCUCAAAUCAGGUAGGAC